rnacentral:rRNA from 1 species
AAUAUUGCGCAAUGGAGGAAACUCUGACGCAGCGACGCCGCGUGAGCGAUGAAGGUAUUCUGAUCGUAAAGCUCUGUCCUUGGCGAAGAAGGUCUUCGGACUUGACGGUACCUAAGGAGGAUACCCCGGCUAACUACGUCUCAGCAGCCGCGGUAAUCCGUAGGGGGCAAGCGUUGUCCGGACUUAUUGGGCGUAAAGGGUGCGUAGGCGGCCUUUUAAGUCAGGUGUGAAAGCCCACGGCUUAACCGUGGGAUUGCAUUUGAAACUGGAAGGCUUGAGUAUCGGAGAGGGUAGUGGAAUUCCCAGUGUAGCGGUGGAAUGCGUAGAUAUUGGGAGGAACACCAGUGGCGAAGGCGACUACCUGGACGAAAACUGACGCUGAGGCACGAAAGCUAGGGGAGCAAAC